rnacentral:lncRNA from 1 species
GUCCAACCCCCAGGACUGCCCAAAACAAGACAGAGACAACUGUGUGCCAAGGCAAUCAGUCAUCGGUGGCACCUUCAAACCACCAUGCACACCCGUGGAAUGCCCGUGUCUGGUCUCGAGCUCCUCAGGACGUAGGAGGUGCUUCUGGUCCCCCUCUGCCUGGGAGUGCAGCCUUACACAAGUGCACCCUGAGAGCAGCUGGUGUCUCAGGCCCUCCGGGAAAGGGGGCAGACUCCCCCCUGCAGCCCUCAAGGCCUGAGGUGCUCCUGACUGAAAAGUGCACAGGCUCAGGCACACUGGAGAUCUGUUUUUGUUUUUGUGAUGCUGAGAAUUGAACCCAGGGGUGCUUUGCCACAGACCUACAACCCUAGGGUCUCGCUAAGCUGGCCUCCAACUUGCAACCCUCCUGCCUCAGCCUCCCAGGUAGGUGGGUUUCCAGGUACAUGCCCCCGCCUGACAGGAGAGGUCUUUAACGGACGGGUGGCGUCUGAGGUGUCGGCCACACCACCUCCGCUCUGGCACGUCUCCAGGUGGAGUCGGGAGCAGGUGGCACCAGCACCCGCAUCCUCCUGCCAGGUGUCCUCUGGUCAUGAGAAGGCUCAGAGGAGCAGGCCCGGUCCCUGGUGGCACCCAGCAUCUGGCCUCUUUAGGUUGCCACCAGGACCAGCCCCUCAGAAUGCUGCUGUUCCCUAGAGGGAGCUUCUGCCACCAGCACCAGCGAGAUCUGGCCGCUGCCGGACACAGUGCUCUGGAAGCCACCCGGCAGGCCUGUGUGCUCCCACAGCUCUCCACGUGGAGUGGGAGCCAGCUGGGCCUGGUCGCCCCGCCGUGUUCUGUCGGGCCGUAUCCACAGCUCCUGGUAGGCCUCUGCCAGCCAGCUGAGAUCUCUGAGAGGGACGCUGCAUUUGAGCACUCUCCUGGUGGGACGCUGUGGGACAGUGGUCCUGCCCAGGCACUGCUCUCAGGACAGCUCUCCUGGCAGACGCUCGGGAAGGCAGGACGCCCAGGCUGUUAAGUGCUCAGCGUCCUCGUCACUGCUGUGCAUGGCUGGCCCUCACCAACACCUCAUCCUGCCCACGGGGUAGGAAAAUGUCAGGCAGAGGGGACGUGGCAAAGCGGAUUGUCUUUAUGGUCUUCAGUAACUGCCGGCCCCCACGUUGACGGGGUCGGUGGCGCUGUCGAUACCCACCUGUGUUAACAGGCUCCGUCAUUCUUGGUGGUGUUUUUUGAGGACUUUGGGCAGAUCCGUGAAUAUAAAUGUCAGCUUCCAGUCCUGAAAUGUUAGCUUCUAGUCUGAAAAGGGGCCGCAGCUGACAUUUACUUGACGGGAACCGCGUCUCACCGUCUCUGCGCCCUGGCCUUUCUGAAGGGGGCUACAGAUGGCUACCAGCAAGUCCUCGUGCCCGUGUCAGGUGUUUGGACCACGUGCUCCUUGGGAGCGUCAGCAGGUGGAUUGUCUGUCAAAGCUGCUUAUCGUGGAGGGGUGGGGGGCACUCGCCACUCCUGUUGGGCGACGAAGGGUCCAGGCUCUGGGGGGCAGCAGCCUUGAUUGUGCCUCUGGGGCCCAGAGGCUGCUGUUAGUUGUGGAGUCCACUGGCUGCAGAGUUCUGCUGCCUGGCUCUCUCCAGGAGGCCCAGCAG